GCCAUUUUGUACCUGGAUCCAAUUGGUGGACCUUGGGACUCUAGCAAAAGAGAGAGAGAGAAAGGGAAGGAAGGAAGGAAGGAAGGAAGGAAGGAAGGAAGGAAGGAAGGAAGGAAGGAAGGUAGGUAGGUGCUGUCUUCCAAGUGCAAAGAUACAAGAUGUGGAAGAGAAGUUGCCAAGUCUUAUAAAUCCCACUGACUACUACCUCCUCCUUCUGAUUCAUGGAGCAGAAAGGCAUUACCAUUUAUGAUGACCUUCCCACCUCCUGGACUACUGUUUUCAGAAGCCCACAGAGGGGACCCAUGAUUUGGAUAAAACUGGACAGUGUCUGGUGUGGGCCAUGUGAAUUUCAUUGACCUGUAUCCCCAUAAUUCUAGCACUGAGGUUGUCUUCAUAUUUCUUCUAGAGUCCAGAUGAAAGGGCCACAACUAAGUGGAGUUUGUCUGCCCAGUAUUUAUUUCAGUCUCUUUUCUAAAGCGUUUCAUUGGAUUUCUAAACUCUCAGCUGCACCAGAUGGAAAAAGACCUCACCUAAUCAGUGACAAUUCUGUGAAAAUUCUGAUGAUUCAAAAGGCAUUUCCUGCUUAGGACUGACUGUUCUUUCUUUCUGCUGGCUGAGUUAUAGGCAAUAAAAUAUACCUUUGCAGAAGGAAACGCCCUGUAGUG